CCUAUGGGUUGUAAACUGCUUUUAUACAGGAAGAAAAACUCCGACGUGUCGGAACUUGACGGUACUGUAAGAAUAAGGACCGGCUAACUCCGUGCCAGCAGCCGCGGUAAUACGGAGGGUCCAAGCGUUAUCCGGAAUCAUUGGGUUUAAAGGGUCCGUAGGCGGUUUUUUAAGUCAGAGGUGAAAUCCUGCAGCUCAACUGUAGAAUUGCCUUUGAUACUGAAAGACUUGAGUUAUUGUGAAGUGGUUAGAAUGUGUGGUGUAGCGGUGAAAUGCAUAGAUAUCACACAGAAUACCAAUUGCGAAGGCAGAUCACUAACAAUAUACUGACGCUCAGGGACGAAAGCGUGGGUAGCGAACAGGAUUAGAUACCCUGGUAGUCCACGCCGUAAACGAUGGA
rnacentral:rRNA from 1 species